UACGAAGGGUGCAAGCGUUACUCGGAAUUACUGGGCGUAAAGGGUGCGUAGGCGGGUCUUUUAAGUCAGGGGUGAAAUCCUGGAGCUCAACUCCAGAACUGCCUUUGAUACUGAGGAUCUUGAGUUCGGGAGAGGUGAGUGGAACUGCGAGUGUAGAGGUGAAAUUCGUAGAUAUUCGCAAGAACACCAGUGGCGAAGGCGGCUCACUGGCCCGAUACUGACGCUGAGGCACGAAAGCGUGGGGAGCAAACAGGG
rnacentral:rRNA from 1 species